GAUGAACGCUGGCGGCGUGCCUAAUACAUGCAAGUCGAGCGAACCGACGAGGAGCUUGCUCCUCUUACGUUAGCGGCGGACGGGUGAUUAACACGUGGAUAACCUCCCUAUAAGACUGGGAUAACUUCGGGAAACCGGAGCUAAUACCGGAUAAUAUAUUUAACCGCAUGGUUCAAUAGUGAAAGACGGUUUUGCUGUCACUUAUAGAUGGAUCCGCGCCGCAUUAGCUAGUUGGUACGGUAACGGCUUACCAAGGCAACUAUGCGUAGCCGACCUGAGUGAGUGAUCUGCCACACUGGACCUGAGACACGGUCCAGACUCCUACGGGAGGCAGCAGUAGGGAAUCUUCCGCAAUGGGCGAAAGCCUGACGGAGCAACGCCGCGUGAGUGAUGAAGGUCUUCGGAUCGUAAAACUCUGUUAUUAGGGAAGAACAAAUGUGUAAGUAACUAUGCACGUCUUGACGGUACCUAAUCAGAAAGCCACGGCUAACUACGUG
rnacentral:rRNA from 1 species